UUCCUGCAGCAGUCGAGUUUCGCGUGUUGAACAUCGUACCGAGGUGUUCCUCACUGAAGCCAGACUUCUUAUCAAUCGGCUGGUACCUGAGCAGCGGCAGCAGCCUUUAAAUACCUGUCUGUUUCUCUUCUAUUAUGAAGCCCAAGAAAUUAAAAGGGUGAUGUUAAUUCAAUGUCGCCGCGACUCGAUCGUCGGAUGGAGAAACGUCACGACACAAUUACCAUCUGCGGCCCUGAACUCGAUAAGAUACUAAUGCGAGAGAAAAAAAAGGUGAUUUUGCCAGUCGUUAUUUCACCGCAACAAACAUACUAAAUACGUCGUAAGUUUAAGUUUUUAAUAUACUUCCAAGUAUAAUUAGUAUGCGCGCAAAUAUUAUGAUGAAGUACGUAAAUACGAAUAUCUUGCAUUUAUGUAAGUUGAGAUUGACAUGCGCAAUUUUGCCGCAUAACGAUAAGCAAGUCGACCCGAUUAUUCGAUUAAUAUUAAUAUAUAAUUCAAUUCUGCUUAACAGUUAUAUUCACGAUGACUAAAUUUUCUCUGUCACUUUCUACUUAAAUCGCAUGAUUACGUUUGUUGUCGUCGUGUAUAUCUCACGAGCUCAUGUAUUUUUAAAUCCCCUCGCGUGUCAGAUAUCAUUUGAAAAAUGCACAUUUCACGACGACACACAAUUAUGACAUAAUGAAAGCAAGUAAUGUUAAUGAUCUCUGUAAUAUUAAUAAUCACAUUAAUAAUAACUUAUUAAUUUAAUGACCAUGACAAUGACUAAUUAGUUAUCAUUCUUGCAUUGAUAAUCCAUGCAACUUUCACCAUGCGUAAUACUGACUGACGUAUUAGUCAUUUAUCAUUUGACCCUGCGUUUAUUAUUUAACAUGUGCGUAGCUUUACAUUUGAUUCUUGCGUAUUCCGUUCAUUAAUAUAAUAAUACAAAAAUAUAUCAAAUUGCUUUAAAAAAAUAUAUUUUGUUGUGUAUAUAUUUCAACUUUAGAAUAAUCUUUAGCUUUUAAUUAAAUUCUUUCUAUAUUUCUGUAGAAGGGGUCUUUUGGGUAAUUUAGAUAAUCGGGUAGAUUAAUGCUAAACUCGUUAAACAGCUUGCAUUAGCAGGAUGAGGUGUAUGCAAUACUUAUAUUGAAGCCAUACAUCAAGUUCAUCGUAAAUUUUGUGCGGAGGAAAGUGCUGAAGCAGCGUCACGGAAGCAAUAUGUAUCGACGAUGUGUCAACUCCACGACUCUGCCGGUGUGUCUAUACGCGCGUAUGCUUAAAUAUUUAUUGUAUUUGCGUCAGACUGGAGUAUAGUCGCAUCCUGAAGCGGUAGCUCGCAUGCGAACACGGCAGUGCAUACCGAUGACACAAACCUCAUGGCACUCCACUGUACUUCCGUUAUUAAUCGGGAAAGCAUCUCUUUUCGCGCGCGCAAAGCGUGAUAAUUGCGCGAGGAAUAAAGAGAACAGUGCGAAUUCUCUCGUAUUCUAGUCGCGCAAAAUGUGUUCAGCGGCCAAAUGUGCGUCUAAUAGUCUCGCGUUGGCAUUGAACAUGUGAUUUUAUUGAGCAUUGCGCAAAUAAAAAAGUCACACUCGAGGGAUCGCGUUCAUAGAUGUGUACAUAAAUGCAAAGCUACGUGAAUGUCGGAAUGUGAAAAAUAUUAUACAAUGCCGGAAGCAUAUCAUGUCAUAUUUUUGUGUCAGCUUUCUCAUUACGAAUGCAAAACCGAUUUUAUUCUCACUCAGAUUCACUUAUUUUACCGCUUUCAUAUUUAUUUAUAUAGUUCUGCAUUCACAUUUGUUUAAACAUUUUAUCUCAAUUCUACUUACGUUGAAGCAUUAUCCGUUACCUAGAAAAUUGAUAUGCCGCGUUUUAUUUUAUGCGUAUCGAAGUAAUAUCAAUCGCAAUGAUCACUUUUUUCAGUUCACGUUCAAAACUACCCUCUCGGCAUUCGUACCCCCCUUGCAUUUGCGGCUCGCGCUCGAUGACUGAACGCACGGCGAGAAUACGACGUUUUGUGAUCCGCGUGAGAAAAAGAAGAAGAGAACGGGCGAGCUCUCGUGCGUAUGGAACUUGACCUACGAGAGGGAUGAAUUAUAGAAGCGAUUCUAAUCGAUUACCGCGCGACGGUAGACGGAAGCGGGUGGACGGUGCGAGAGCAAUGGCAGCGUUUCACUUUUUUCGCGAGGAUCGAGGGUAGACGUGUCCAGAAUGUUCACACCGAGGAUUUCGCAUAAGCGAAACCAAGUUGACACAGCGUUGAAACCAAGUCGACAGCGUGACACACGAAGCCCCGACGAAUUUUCUGAUAUUGUAAAACCGGCAGUGCGGCGACGCGCUACUCGCCAGCUGCGCCGACGUCUGAUAUCGACUGCUCGAGGGUUGGUAGGCGACUGAAGUCCGCUGGGGGGUUUCUCUGAUAAGAACGUACGCACAUAGGGAAUUUCCAACAGCGGCGAGCAAUGCCGCGCGGGUUUGAUAAGGUACUGGUUGGAGUUGAUUAUUAUUCUGUCGUUACAACCGUAACUAUCAAAUAAUUCCCUUUUUAAAAGAGGUAAUAGUAACCAUAAAUUUUGUUUGAAAGUGUACGGAAUAAAUCAAUAGCGAUUAUUGUUAAUAGCAUAAUUAUAAAUAAUUUGCAAGAGUAGUAUUGAUUACGUGAAGAAAACAGUUAUAUAAUAAUCUCAAAAAUAAAAAUUAAAUCUAAACCUUGCAAAUAAAAAAUUACGUUUCCCAAUAAUAUUUAAAACACACAGAUUAUAUCAGAAUAAAAUGGCAAUUUAAAUAAUUUGCCAUUUAAGAAGAAAUACUAUAUUUGCUAUACAAAGUAUUGAAUAACAGAAUAAAUGGUGGAAUAACAUAGAUCUCUUGCACUUGAAUUAUAAAUGCAUGUGAAUGAAAAAAAGGAAAAAUAAAAACUGUAAGAACAUACCGACAGUGCAGUUGAAAAAGUGGAUUUAUACGAUACAGUUCACGAGAUAUCGAUUCCUCGACAUGUUUAAAUAACAUCGAGCGAUGCCUGACAAGGAUCGUGAGAAAUUGUUUAACGCAGACUCUUUAAUUUUCGGAAUCCAUAUUUGUUAACGAUUGCCUCUAGUCGCGGUUAUGUAUAAAUUUCGAUUGUUUAACUUACCUGGCGCAACUUUCUUCGCUGAAGGAAUAUCGAAUAGGAAAAAGUACGUUUUUAUUGAAAAAAAUUUGCGCUGUCAUCUGGCCAUUUGGUUGGCUGGAUGUGACACAGCCGAAUUUCAAACUACAUCAGCUAUGCCGACAUCUUGCCUCCUAAACGUCCAGUUAAAAAAGGAAAAAUUCUUAUAUUGGAAGUGUUUUAGAUAUCGAAAAUGACCAAACUAUCGCUUGUCGCAGACUGAACAAAUUUUAUUAUACGUAACUUUCGUUCUCAUCUGAUGAAAACGGAUCAAUAAAAUCAUCGAGGGAUUUCCUGAGCGUUCCGGAUAAUAUUCACGAUUGAUAUUCCAAUAAUAUUCCACGAAGGAGAGUUCAAAGCUGAACAGCGACGCGGAAGAUGGAGAAGCUAAUUCGACACUCAAUUCCGAGAGAACUCCUGCACCUGUACGAGGCUGGAAGUCCGUCAAAGAACUGAUAGCGUGGUUUCAGCCGGAAGUGAAUUCGAGAAGCGUUUUUUUGGCGGACCCGAUCGGAAUGAAAAUUCCAUCCAUACGCGCGUAUACGUACACAUGUAUGCGUGCCAUGCACGUCCGCAGGAUCCUAAUGCUCUUCGUGACUUCCGGUAUUGGGCGAACCUGCGCGCCACUACUGGAGAUUAUGUGUGGCCAUCGGUGACCGGAUAUGGUGAAGAACCGGCUGACCAAAUCGCUCUCGCGGCGGACGUCUCUUCAUGCCGAUCACGCGUAACCCGUGUACCAAAUACCGAGCAUCGACCGAUGACAUCAUACCCAUUGUGUACAUAGACAAGCGCUCGCGUUCGCGCUUAUUUUCCGCGCAUCUUCGCGUUCACAGUGGAAUCAUUAUCAUUCCACCAUGAUGGCAUCAUAAACUAGGUGGAUGUUGAAACCGUUUUGCGGAUACCUCCGACCAGAAGUUUCAGCGAAAGUACCCAUGACGUUAUCGAACAGCUGUAUAAACCUGGCAUCCUGGUGUUGCACAAGGUUUAGUGCUCCCAUGCGCGCUAUAACCAUAUAAUGCAUACCGUAACUCUAAUCGCGCGUAUGCUAAGAAGACACGUUCUAUCUAAUGAGCUUGGAUAAAAGUAUGCUCGUAUUUUUUACCCAUAUCUUGGUUGCAAGCAGCAAAGAUUAGAGUUUGGAAUAACACUAACCACUCACCUCAUGGAAUUUGCUUCAUCAGACUAGGGCUACCUCCAAGAGCAUCAUCUUCGGGAAAGAUGCUUCCCAGCUUUCAGUUUUACUAAGCGAUUAUCGCAGGUACGUCGAGAAAUGCUCACAGUGUUCCGUUGCGGAGAAAGUCAUCGCUGGUAACAAUGAUGAGGGCUGCCGCUGCCACUGUCGCUAUCGCCGCCGCCACCGCCACCGCCACCGCCGUCGCCGUUAACGCCGUUGUUGUUGGCACCGUAUUCAACGACACGAGAAGGAAAGAAAGCAAAAAAGCGCCACUGGAGGAACAAUUAAUUCGUACGCGAAACACGUACGCGCGGCCACGCACACGGAGACGCACACACGUACCCGCGACUUCGAUGGAACGCACCUACGCGUGCACCUUCCAUCCGGUUCGGAAUAUUCGGCUACCAGCGAUAUGCGACUAUAUUCUCUGCGAAGCGCCGGAUAUAAAUAUGCGCCGGCAUUUCUCAGCCGCGAGUUUAAUCGAAAAAGUUUCGGCGAUAGGUUUUCACGAAUUUAGUCGGCCAGUGAAUUGUCGCGAAUGGAAUAAAUGAGAAGGCGAUGCGCGUGGAUUAUUUAACACAUUUUUAGUUUUUAAAAGGUAGGGGUUUUGCAUGUGUAUUUUGUACCUAUCGCAUAUACCGUUAAAUAUGUUUAUCUUUCUCGUGGACGUUGAAAUUGAACAAGGAAUAACAGAAGGAUUAAAUAGAAAUGAGCGAUGUAUACAUUAUUUUCAUUGCAAAUAAUACAAACAUUAUAAAACGAAGACGGGAGAAAUGUGACUGAUACAUAAAAAUCAGAUCUUGCAGAAUCGUCACCGUGGCUUUUAUGCGUAUCCUUAAUUUCGAAUAUAGUAUUUGCAUACUCGAUCUUGUAACACGCUAGGAUUAAUGAUAUACAACUGUUAUUAAUGAAAAAAUAUUUUUCACGGUUAUUUCCGUAAUUGUCAUUCCCACAGCGAGACAAUGAGCAACAUUGACGAGCAAAGAAGAACGCAAUACUCGUGUAACAGAGCAGAAGUCUCGGCAGAAGUAGGCCGUGCAAAUGAGGCAUACUGUGUGGAACACCUUUACUAAACCGAAGCGACCAGUGCACACAUGCUAAUUGCAGAACAAGCGGCUACAGUUUUGUGGGACGCCAACGCGUCGCAAGACUUCACAUCGGUGAGGAAUCGGCAAGUGGAGGGAAUUUCGUGACAACGAACGAAAUCGGAAGUGAGAGUACCGGCAAGAUGCAAGCGGCGGAUCCUCGCGGAAGCGUCGAUUUUCCCCGAGAUCUGCGCCUCCGAUGGAAAGAUUUGCCCCGACCGGCCGUUAUUAGCACCCCAAUAAUUAAAGGAACGGUAAUUAACUCAUUCAGUUGAGGCUUGAAUAGUAAACGGCGCACCUGCAAUAUACCGCGGUCAACAAGUUGUUUUACAGGUCGCUCAUAAUUGCGCAGUGUCUCAAUUAGCGGAUCGCCAAUAGAAACCUGUGCUGGUUCGACCGCGACGCAUUCUGAGCGCAAUUGCGUUCACUUACCGUUUGAAUGUAAUUAGGUAUAAUUAUAUAGUUCUACUUUGCGCAUGAUCCGCAUUAUUGACCAAUUAAUACUACUAAUGUUAAAUCCGAUUUAAGCGAGAAAUGACUCGAAAAUGAAUAUCGGUGUGCCAUGUAACUCGUCUACGAAGAAGAUGCUCCUUGUUCGUCCCUGACGUGCAACACGUUGAAUCGAAUAUGAUUUGAUUUUACUCUGAACAUAACAAGCAGCUUUGCGAAGCAUUUAUGCAAUUGAUUUGUCAGUCGUUAAAAUAUUCUGAAGCAAAUCACUUUAUAGCUUCGAUGAUUAUCGAAGAGAUCACGUUCGUGAUGUUCACACUGAUAAUACGAUCACCGAUUAGUUUUAAUUAGCGAUACCUUAUUAUUCUCCGAUCACAUGUACACACAAUUAAAAAUGAACGGUCGUACUGCAAAUCUAAUUGACACCUAGUGUUUAAUUCAGGCACAUUGAACGCACAUCGGACACGAUCGAACACGAUAAGUCGAUGAGUGUGCAAACUGCGAGGAACAUACAAGUGCUUAUGUAACAUUUAUAUCGUUUCGUUGGAACCUUUGCCUCACGACAGCUUGUCGCCUCUGCAAAGAUCUCGAACUCAUUGUCAAGUGUGAGAAAUGAAAAUCGUCUCCUCCAAGUUCUUAGUUCAAGUUACUUUUUAUUACAAUAGUUACAAUAAAAUUACGUGUUUGAAUUAAAUACAACUCGAUUUUUAAGGACUGAAAGAGACUUCUCUCGUACACUAAAACGCAUUUCUUUUCAAGCAUUUUGCGCAUUUUGUUACGUCGCUAUGUUGGAAGCGAGUGGAAUAAAGAUUCAAUUUCGCGCGAUGAAUGUCAAUGUCGCGAAAGAAUGUCACUUUUUUUUAAUUCACGUGAGAGAAAAAGACAUCCUGUCUCUAUACUAAAAGAGCUUUCCUUUAUCGCGGCGAUACCACGGCCCGAGUCCGUGCGCCUUAUCGCAAUCGGGCAUACAUAAUCAAACGUCGUGUGAUAACGUAAUAACACUGUCCGCAUGUUUAUAAAUCGGCACAAAGGCCUGAUACUCUUGAGUCUGACUUGACCGAUACGAAGAAUGCAUUGAAUGCUGAUUGAACUUGGUCUGAGAAAACAGUGGAUAAAAAUGGAUUUUGCGGAAGCUACAGUUAGCGUUAAAUGACAAAGUUGCGAGUACUUCAGUCAAAAAUCGAGUGAAAAAAAUAUGUCACUUACCCAAAUUUGAAGCGUCUUUUCUCAAGUUUAUUACCGUCACGACACCACUAUUUAAUUAUACAAAAAUUUCCAAGUUAUAAUUUUGUUUCAGCUCUUCUAUUUCAUAUAAUUGUUUUCCACAACACAAAACACAAUUUAUCAUUUCCACAUCUCUUUAUGAUAUAGAAAGUCAUUUCACAUUCACUCAUUGUCAGAUAAUAUCGCAAUACGUGAAAUUAUAAUCGUACCUCGGGUAUGGUGCAGUGAUCAGUGCGACGACACGACGACCGCGGAUCGUUUUAACCAGGAAAUCAUUCUCGCGUUACAGGAUGCCCGGUGUGUCAAUAUUGACACAUUUCUUACGAAACACGCAAAAGAGAACCGGGCUUUCGCUGGUUCGCUGGUUCACGUGGUCUCUGGUCACCAUAAAUGCUAUGGGAAAUAUCGAAAAGAAUACUCCGUGCAGUAGAGACUUCCAGAGAAUAUUCUGUUAUGAGUUUUACAUAAAGCACAUUCAAAAUGUUAUACUUGACAAUUAUAUCAAUAUGUAAAAUAAUGCAGUGUGCUAUAAGAAGAAAUGUUUUGAAAGAAUGAUUAUAUAUUAAAUAUAAUAUUAUAAUUAUA